AGAGUUGUAUCCUGGCUCAGAUUGAACGCUGGCGGCAUGCUUUACACAUGCAAGUCGAACGGCAGCACGGGGGCAACCCUGGUGGCGAGUGGCGAACGGGUGAGUAAUGCACCGGAACGUGCUCAAUAGUGGGGGAUAACACAUCGAAAGAUGUGCUAAUACCGCAUACGCACUGAGGUGGAAAGCGGGGGAUCGUAAGACCUCGCGCUAUUGGAGCGGCCGAUGUCCGAUUAGCUAGUUGGUAGGGUAAAGGCCUACCAAGGCAACGAUCGGUAGCUG
rnacentral:rRNA from 1 species